UGAAUCAAAGUCUGUUGUUCCAG
rnacentral:miRNA from 1 species